GGUUGUGGCUCAGCGGUAGAGUGCUCACCUAGUGGUGUGAAGCCCUGGGUUCAAUCCUCAGCACCA
rnacentral:tRNA from 1 species